CCCUAGCUAGCUCAGUUGGUAGAGCGCUCCACCUGUAAUGGAGAGGUCCCGGGUUCGAUACCCGGACCAGGCG
rfam:Ixodes scapularis strain Wikel colony gcontig_1107729199286, whole genome shotgun sequence.